rnacentral:rRNA from 1 species
GACGAACGCUGGCGGCGUGCUUAACACAUGCAAGUCGAACGGAAAGGCCCUGCUUUCAGGGUACUCUAGUGUCGAACGGGUGAGUAACACGUGUGUGAUCUGCCCUGCACUUCGUGAUAAGCCUUGGAAACUGUGUCUAAUACCGGAUAGGAGCCAUUUUUAUUGUUAUGGUUGGAAAGUCUUUUCGGUGUAGGAUGGGCUCGCGGCCUAUCAGCUUGUUUGUUGGGUAAUUGCCUACCAAAGCGGCGGCGGGUAGCCGGCCUGGGAGGGUGGACGGCCAAAUUGGGGCUGAGGAACGGCCCAGACUCCUACGGGAGGCAGCAGUGGGGAAAAUUGCACAAUGGGCGCAAGCCUGAUGCAGCGACGCCGCGUGGGGGAAGAAGGGCUUCGGGUUGGAAACCCCUUUCGCUAGGGAAGAAGCUUUUUGUGACGGUACCUAGAUAAGAAGCACCGGCUAACUACGUG